rnacentral:rRNA from 1 species
GACGAACGCUGGCGGCGUGCCUAAUACAUGCAAGUAGAACGCUGAAGAGAGGAGCUUGCUCUUCUUGGAUGAGUUGCGAACGGGUGAGUAACGCGUAGGUAACCUGCCUGGUAGCGGGGGAUAACUAUUGGAAACGAUAGCUAAUACCGCAUAAAAUUGAUUAUUGCAUGAUAAUUAAUUGAAAGAUGCAAUUGCAUCACUACCAGAUGGACCUGCGUUGUAUUAGCUAGUUGGUGAGGUAACGGCUCACCAAGGCGACGAUACAUAGCCGACCUGAGAGGGUGAUCGGCCACACUGGGACUGAGACACGGCCCAGACUCCUACGGGAGGCAGCAGUAGGGAAUCUUCGGCAAUGGGGGGAACCCUGACCGAGCAACGCCGCGUGAGUGAAGAAGGUUUUCGGAUCGUAAAGCUCUGUUGCAAAAGAAGAACGGGUGUGAGAGUGGAAAGUUCACACUGUGACGGAUCU